ensembl:lncRNA
GUCCAUGUAAAAAGUGGAGGACAACACAGGAAGUGACGCAAAAGAAAGUGUCUUUAAAAGGAAUUACAACUUCCUGUGAGAGUCAGUUUUUCAUUAUUUGGAGUGGAUACUGGUGGAGAACCUGCUGACUGGACAUGAGACCUGUUCCUGAACAUAACAAAGAACGCUAAUAAGAAUUUGAUAUCCAAUAUACAUUGGAAGAAAAUAAGGAAGUAUCCUGCAGUCUGCAAGAAUUCAAGUCAACUAUUCAAGGCCCAGAUAAAAUUUAAUCCAGUUUAUCUGGAACAACUGACAGAUGUGAUUAGUUAGCAACUUCAUCACUUGUUACUGUCUUCUGGAGAGGCUUUAGAGUUUACAAAAUACAAACCUCACAAGAACCUGGAGAUAGGCAAUAACCAGUUUUCUCUUCAGUCUGUCCCAGCAAAGAGCCUCAUGAAGAACAUUCUCAUGAACCAAGUUAAUGCCUGAAAACAUUCAGAACUGAGAAAGAAGCUGACUUAGUUUUCAGGCCAAUUAGAAGAUAAAAACUCAGCUCCUCCAUUCUCAAACCUUAGCAGCAUCCUCCAAUCUCAUUGUCUCUGUGUGUGCCACAACAAAAGACACCCAGGAAAACCGUGACAGUCUGUUUCUCAACUGCCAAGGACAGAUAAAAUUGGAACUACAUAAAUGUGACUCUCUGCUGCCACCAAGUGACAGUGAACACCUGUCCACAGGAUGGGAGAGCAGUCCAGUGGGACAAGGAGAAAUUCUAUCCAAAAUACAGGAUAGUGAUCAUGGCCAGAUAUUAAGAGGAAAUGGAUCUCAUUUUUGUGACCUCCCUCCACUCAGUUGGAAGACUUGGAGAGAUUUAACAAAGUACAAAAGUCAACAAACAUCCAUUGAGUUUAGAAUGUUGACGGUGAGGUAAUAAUGGGAGUGGAAAUAAGAGUGAAACAAGCAAAGAGAUGACCAAUACUGGAUAGUGGGAACAAAGCAGACCACCAGACAAAAUUCACCAUGAAUAAUCAACCUUGCAGAGAAGUGGGGAAAUGGACCAUUGAACUUAAAGGAAAUCUGCAUUCUAGUCCUAUACAGUUCUGGAUGACUUGGAACACAUUCCCUCUUCUCAAGGAAUUUCAAACUUCUCAUUUGAAAAACAGAAAUAACAAUAACUGAGAAGUCUAUAUGUUGUCAUGAUGAUUAAAAAGAGGAGACUUGAAAAGCACUGUAAAAAUUCAUUCAUUCAUUCAUUCAUUUGACAAAUAUGUAUUAGGACCCUGUUAUAAGCAACUCAUUUCUUGAAUGGUGAUUUAGGGCAGCAGAUAAAUAAGACAUUCAAGAACUUUACUGUCUGGUAUGAGUAAGAAGGCAUGCACAAAUGAAUAUAUAAUAAAAUGAG